rnacentral:rRNA from 2 species
UGGGGAAUAUUGCACAAUGGAGGGAACUCUGAUGCAGCGACGCCGCGUGAACGAAGAAGGCUUUCGAGUCGUAAAGUUCUUUUAUAUGGAAGAUAAUGACGGUACCAUAAGAAAAAGCCCCGGCUAACUACGUGCCAGCAGCCGCGGUAAUACGUAGGGGGCUAGCGUUGUCCGGAAUCACUGGGCGUAAAGGGUUCGCAGGCGGAAAUGCAAGUCAGGUGUAAAAGGCAGUAGCUUAACUACUGUAAGCAUUUGAAACUGCAUAUCUUGAGAAGAGUAGAGGUAAGUGGAAUUUUUAGUGUAGCGGUGAAAUGCGUAGAUAUUAAAAAGAAUACCGGUGGCGAAGGCGACUUACUGGGCUCAUUCUGACGCUGAGGAACGAAAGCGUGGGUAGCAAACAGG